rnacentral:lncRNA from 1 species
AAUAGUAACUAUUACUCAGUAAAAACAUGUAUGUGUUGUUUUAAUUAAAUCUAAGCAAAAUUAAACAUUUUUGAGAUGUUCAGUUAUUUAAAUUUACACAUUUUUGUUUGGGGUAAAUUAAGCAAUAGUUUGUUGAGCAGAUUUAACAAAAAUGUAUGAGUACCAUGAAAAAUUAAGAAAUCUAAUAGAUUUAACUAAUGAAAGCAUUUUCAUUUCAAUCAUUCUACACUUCCGCCCGUAGUCAGUUGUGCCAUGUGCAGGACACACACGCUUCAGCAGUGGAUGAUCUCCAUUUUGUCUGAGGUUGAACGAGAUAGAGCUCCAUGUAAUCACUGAUGACCAAAUCGAGAAGUUGGUUCUUCUAUCAGGGAUCCCACCAACAGUAGAGGAGCUGCAUAGUGUUGUAAAGGAUACCUUUGGGAUUUCAAACGACUUCAGUCUUCAGUAUUUUAAACCAAAAUUUCAGGACUACUUCACUAUUCGCAGAAGUGACCAGGAUCAGCUAAAGCUGUGCAUCACCCUGGUCAUCCUGCCAGUUUUCGGCAGCCCCUCUGAUCAACUGUCAACUGACUAUGACUCAUCAUCCAAUCCAGUUGUAUCCAGUGCAGACUCUGCUGCAACCACAUCUUCUCAGGACAAAAUUAUUCUCAAAAGGCAGAAGUUCACAGAACGUCGUGAGCCCUGGCCGAAGCUGUUCCCCAUUCCACAGUCUUCAUAUGAAACCGAAAUGUAACUGGAAAGAGCCACUGAGAGUAUGAAAAGAAUGGAAAUCUUCUGCCCACCUCCAAAGUAAAGACUGACAUUCUCGAGAAGUUGGCUGAAACUGUAUUUUCAAUUAUGGCCUAUUCUUCCUAUUAUUUUGGGGCAAGCACUAGUGAAGAAUUUCAGUGCAUACAAUCUAAAUCAAUCAGAAAAAUGUUAUAUUAUAAAUUUUGUAUACGUUUUAUAUUCCACAAUAAAAACAAUUACUGUUUGAAUGUUCUCUUUGUGAAAUUGAUUCAUUUUACUCAGAAAAGUAGUUAAAUUAAUUUGAUUUUCUCUUACUAUUCAGUCAUUAUUUAUAAAGUUUAAUUGGAAAAUUACUGAAUCCAAUUUGAGUUUUACUUAAAAACAAAAAGUUUUCAUUUCUUUGUAAUGGAUAUUUUAGUCAGUUUUUACUAAACCUUUGCCAGAUUGUUAGUAAAUUCAAAGUAAUUUUUCUCAGAGAUUCAUUUCAAAUUAAUACAUUUUUUGUUACAAUUAGGCAAUUUUAACCUUCAAUUUGAGAUUUUGUCCCUAAAUCCAACACAUAUU